AGAGUUUGAUCCUGGCUCAGGAUGAACGCUAGCGGCAGGCUUAAUACAUGCAAGACGAACGGUAAGUUGGAUAGCAAUAUCUGACCUAGAGUGUCGUACGGGUGCGUAACGGGUAUGCAAUCUGCCCUGUACAGGAGGAUAGCUCCCCGAAAGGGGAAUUAAUACUUCAUAAUAUAAUUGGAUGGCAUCAUUUGAUUAUUAAAGCUGAGGCGGUACAGGAUGAGCAUGCUUCUGAUUAGCUAGUUGGCGGUGUAACGGACCACCAAGGCGAUGAUCAGUAGGGGACCUGAGAGGGUGAUCCCCCACACUGGCACUGAGAUACGGGCCAGACUCCUACGGGAGGCAGCAGUAGGGAAUAUUGGUCAAUGGGUGAGAGCCUGAACCAGCCAUGCCGCGUGCAGGAAGACGGCCUUCUGGGUUGUAAACUGCUUUUGUCAGGGGGUAAAAGACCCAUGCGUGGGAAAUUGAAAGUACCUGGCGAAUAAGCCACGGCUAACUACGUGCCAGCAGCCGCGGUAAUACGGAGGGUGCAAGCGUUAUCCGGAAUCACUGGGUUUAAAGGGUGCGUAGGCGGUUUGAUAAGUCAGUUGUGAAAUUCCCCGGCUUAACCGGCGGGACUGCGAUUGAUACUGUCAGACUUGAAUUAGGUUGAGGUAGGCGGAAUGUGGCAUGUAGCGGUGAAAUGCAUAGAUAUGCCAUAGAACACCGAUUGCGAAGGCAGCUUGCUGGACCUUAAUUGACGCUGAGGCACGAAAGCGUGGGGAGCAAACAGGAUUAGAUACCCUGGUAGUCC
rnacentral:rRNA from 1 species